rnacentral:rRNA from 1 species
UGGGGAAUAUUGCACAAUGGGGGAAACCCUGAUGCAGCCAUGCCGCGUGUGUGAAGAAGGCCUUCGGGUUGUAAAGCACUUUCAGCGAGGAGGAAAGGGGUGAUGCUAAUACCAUCAUCCUGUGACGUUACUCGCAGAAGAAGCACCGGCUAACUCCGUGCCAGCAGCCGCGGUAAUACGGAGGGUGCAAGCGUUAAUCGGAAUUACUGGGCGUAAAGCGCACGCAGGCGGUUGGAUAAGUCAGAUGUGAAAGCCCCGGGCUCAACCUGGGAACUGCAUUUGAAACUGCCUCGCUAGAGUACGGGAGAGGAAAGUGGAAUUCCUGGUGUAGAGGUGAAAUUCGUAGAUAUCAGGAGGAACACCGGUGGCGAAGGCGACUUUCUGGCCCGAUACUGACGCUCAGGCGCGAAAGCGUGGGGAGCAAACA